rnacentral:sRNA from 2 species
UUUCUUAAAUCGCUGAAACCUUAGUGUGCGGGGGAACCAUCUGGAUGCAUAAAUCCAUCCACGGGGUGAAUCCUUUUAAAGGUAGGGCUACUCUUGAGGCCCGAAUCCGACAGCUAACCUCGUAAGCGUUUUUAGAGGCAAGAA